rnacentral:rRNA from 1 species
CCUUCUUCCUCCCCCUUUUUUCUUCCUUCCUGGGCGUAAAGAGUGUGUAGGCGGUUCUGUAAGUUUGGUGUGAAAUCUCCUGGCUUAACUGGGAGGGGGCGCCGAAAACUGCAAGGCUUGAGUACUGGAGAGGAUAGCGGAAUUCCUGGUGUAGCAGUGAAAUGCGUAGAUAUCAGGAGGAACACCGGCGGUGUAGACGGCUGUCUGGACAGUAACUGACGCUGAGACCCGAAAGCGUGGGGAGCAAACAGGA